rnacentral:rRNA from 1 species
CGGACGGGUGAGCAAUGUCUGGGAAACUGCCCGAUGGAGGGGGAUAACUACUGGAAACGGUAGCUAAUACCGCAUAACGUCGCAAGACCAAAGAGGGGGACCUUCGGGCCUCUUGCCAUCGGAUGUGCCCAGAUGGGAUUAGCUAGUAGGUGAGGUAACGGCUUACCUAGGCGACGAUCCCUAGCUGGUCUGAGAGGAUGAUCAGCCACACUGGGACUGAGACACGGCCCAG